CCAUCACAGUCGAAAGUAUUACAAUGAUAGAGGACUUCUCUUGUGGAAUUUUCCUGUGACUAUUUUGUUCCCGACACACAGUGAUGGAUCGUUCCUUUGCCACAUGGAGGAAAGGGUGAUGUUCCCGCUGGGCAGGUUUUACAAUUCACGCAGUGUGCACUGCCUUUUUCUUGGGUUACAACAAGGACCAUGCUGAUGUAAAUCAACAAGAUAGACACUACGUUUCCACACAGCGUGAGGAACAUUAAGUUCAAACAUGUUGGUGAGCUAGAGGUCGUUCGUCGUCUGCCAAACAUCUUUUUACAAAUAACCAGUGAGAGUCAUUAUUACACGACUCGGGCAGUCAGAAGGCCAAUAACUAAAAUCAACCA